rnacentral:rRNA from 1 species
GUGCUUAACACAUGCAAGUCGAACGAACCUUCGGGUUAGUGGCGGACGGGUGAGUAACGCGUGAGAAUCUGCCCUCAGGAGGGGGAUAACGGUUGGAAACGACCGCUAAUACCCCAUAUGCCUACUGGUGAAAUGAAUUUCGCCUGAGGAUGAGCUCGCGUCUGAUUAGCUAGUUGGUGAGGUAAUGGCUCACCAAGGCUUCGAUCAGUAGCUGGUCUGAGAGGAUGAUCAGCCACACUGGGACUGAGACACGGCCCAGACUCCUACGGGAGGCAGCAGUGGGGAAUUUUCCGCAAUGGGCGAAAGCCUGACGGAGCAACGCCGCGUGAGGGAAGAAGGCCUCUGGGCUGUAAACCUCUUUUCUCAAGGAAGAAGAUAUGACGGUACUGAGGAAUAAGCCACGGCUAAUUC